rnacentral:piRNA from 1 species
UGGGAUGAUUUGCACUCUUUGGGACGAGAU